rnacentral:lncRNA from 1 species
CUGCAUGGAGCGCUGAGGUGCACGUCCUGGCCCUCGUCUGCUCCCCCCACCCCCCAGACCCUGCCUCGGAAGUGGGGGAGCCUAGGGGGGUGAGAGCUCAGCCGGCCUCGGGGCAACACCCAUAAAGACCAGCGUCCUUAUGCACCCAGGGGUUGAGAGCCCCAACUCUGGAGCCUGUCCGCCUGGGUCUCCAUAUCCGCCAUUCACCGCGGUGUGAUCUUCAGAUUCCAGUUUCCUCAUCUGUAACAGAGAUGUAAGGCUUGCAUGACAACCUAGGUAAAGCCCUUAAACGGGGCCGCCCCUGGUAAGCACCAUUUGAGUAUGAGUUCAUAAUUGGUGACACUAUUUGCUGGGCUCUUGUUCUGUACCAGGCAGGGUGCUAAGCCUUGAGCAGAAGUCGGCUUGGUUAACCCUCUCAAGCAGAAGUUCAGUCAUCCCCCCAUUGUAUGGAUGAGGAGGUUGAGGCACAGAGAAACUAAGUCGCAUGGCCAGCGUCAUCCCGGGAAGUGACGGAGCCUGGAUUCCAACUAAGGCACAGGCUCUCGGCCUCUGUACAGCCCGAAUCACCCUGAGACCCAGGGGGACCUCUGAUUUGGGAGAAGGGAAGACAACAGAAGGAUUUAUCCAGACACAGUGCUUGAACCAGAAGCUUCUGCCUGGAACCCCAUCCCCACCUCCCUCUUCCAGUCCUUCCCCUUCCUGCCUCCACUAUUCUGAGAUAGCAAGUCAUAACCAAGGGCAACCACAGAGUGCUCCUGAAGUCUCAGAAGGCUUAGUGAGACGCCAUCCCUGCCUGGCUGGAUCCAAAAAACAUGUAAGUGUAAUAAUCUUUGUCUUAGCGAACCAAAUACAUGGAAAUUGUAUUAUUACAAAAUUUCUAUUUGGAGGUGGUAAUGUACUUGGCCAACUACGUCUUCAUUUUAGCAACAACAACAUUACUUUGAUGUAA